GGUCAGGCCAACCAGCUCCAUCCUGCACCUGGGCCGGGGGAGCGGGACAGGAGCGGACCAGCUGUGAGCAAGCCCAGUUCUGGAAAUCCUACAUCCAAUGCAUGACAUCCAUCAGGUCUGUGCCUGCAUAAACAAGUGUUGCUGUACGGUCCCUGGGACGUGUUUACAUCUUUCCAACACAGUGAAAUCUAAGGAUUACCUAGUUGCAACAAAUUGUAACAAAAUACAAUUUCAUCAUGGAGGAAGUAAAUUAUGUUUCAACAGACAUACAGAGAGAAAAGAGCCGAGAUAUCACUCCAAAGACUCCAAAACCUGACAAUGAGCAGAGGUCAGAGCAAAAAUGCUUGGGCUAAACAGAAAUUUGGAGAAAGAAUUGGCAUCUAUUAAAAGGACUGAUGUACAGGUCUUCCCAGUGCCUGUUGAAUCACUGCAGAUAAUCAUGAAGUAAUAAAGUCCAUGAAUUUGCUGCAAUCUCUAAUCUUUGGUGUCUGAUCCACAAUUACAACAGCAGGCCAUGGCCUCAGGAGCAAUAGAUGCAGCAUGGCCAACUACUUUGACAGUAAACCAUUAAGAAUUCCUGUUCUUCAGCCCUCAAGCUGGACUCGGAAAUGCCAACAUCUUCAUUCAGUAUAUCAGAAUCAGAAGAGAUUUUUUUAAAAUAUCUAACAGAAAGACAAAGUAUUGUAUGGAAAUGCAUGUAAAUCUUUUAUUCAUACAGCAGCAUCCUGGGGGAAGAACAACUACCUCCCACAAUGCUUUCUCCUCUCCUCAGCUAUAAUGAAAAAGCUCUCACAAUUUUUAUUCUUAUAGAAAGUACAAAGAAACUAAGUAAAGUUGCAGGAACAUUUCUAUUUGAAUGACUAUGACAGCACGAUCCUGUAAAAUUGAUAAAAGGAGGCUUGGGGUAAGGGAAAGCUAUUUAGAAGAAUCGCUGUCUACACCAAGUCCACCCUGUAUAAAAAGAUGCCAUUGUGACCUCUUUGAAGAAUUGAAAGUGAUUGAAAGAUGAUGAACAUAGUAGCAUGUAUAUACUGAAAAUACCAUUUCUGAUGUAUGUUUCGUACCAUACUAGAAUGUGCAGAGGACAGUUAGGUGCCAAGUGAUGAACACAACAGAGCUACAAAACUGAGGUUCUGUGUGAGAAAGGGGAGGGUAAAGCUUAUUUAUUACUUUUGCCCUACAUGGCAGUCUGUGCCAGAUUGGGAAUAAAAAUAGGAGCACAAAGUGAAGGAAGAAUACCACGUUGAACAAAAGAACGUCAUAAAUUUAAGGGCAGGAACUGUAUCAGUCAAUCCUAGACUGACAGACAGCAUGUAACCAGCCUCAUAAAUAAAUCAAGAACAUCCAAAAAUGGACUUCCUUGUUUAGCCUAGUCUUCUGGUUUGCAACUGUUCUCUCACUUUGAUCACCUAAAACUUCACUCUUAUUUUAAAUAAAGUAGUUGUUUGCUCUGAGAUUGUCCAGAGACAGAGAAGUUACUGGGCAAGCACGAAGACACAAAUUUCAAAGAAAAAUAAAGCAAAUAAAACAGUAAUGAAAACAACUACAGAUACCCAACACAUAGGACUAAUUUGUAAAUUUUCAGAGCUGUAUCUUUUUCUUUUCAUUCUGAGGGAGUUAACUUAGGGGUUGGUACUUUUACUGCAAGUAUACUAGGAGAAAUCUCUCCCCACUUGGAACUAACAAGAACACCCAUGGCAAGACUUAGG